rnacentral:rRNA from 1 species
GACGAACGCUGGCGGCGUGCUUAACACAUGCAAGUCGAACGGAAAGGCCCCUUUGGGGGUACUCGAGUGGCGAACGGGUGAGUAACACGUGAGUAACCUGCCCUUGACUUCGGGAUAACUUCAGGAAACUGGGGCUAAUACCGGAUAGGAAUCCUUGCUGCAUGGUGGGGGUUGGAAGGUUUCGGCGGUUUUGGAUGGACUCGCGGCUUAUCAGCUGGUUGGUGGGGUAGUGGCUUACCAAGGCUUUGACGGGUAGCCGGCCUGAGAGGGCGACCGGCCACAUUGGGACUGAGAUACGGCCCAGACUCCUACGGGAGGCAGCAGUGGGGAAUAUUGCACAAUGGGCGGAAGCCUGAUGCAGCAACGCCGCGUGCGGGAUGACGGCCUUCGGGUUGUAAACCGCUUUCAGCAGGGGCGAAGCUUGUGGUGACGGUACCUGCAGAAGAAGCACCGGCUAACUACGUG